CGAUCCAAACUUCAACCUCUAUAUAAAGGGAGCAGGGGAAAGCUUGGAAAACCCAUUCCCCCACUCUGAUCUAUCUGAGCCCCUCUCUUCCUCUUCUUCCUCUUCACGCUCUCCCUCUCGUUCUCCUAACUCUCUCUUUCUCUCCCUCUCGUGUUUCACCACCCUCACCUUUGUCCCUCACGAAUUUCUCAACCAAACCAUGAAAUAACAUGGGCAAAACACUUUUGGACCCUCAUAUAACUAGAUCUUGGCAAAGAAACCACAAGAAAUCAAUCAAAGAACGCAGAACCGUGAAGUUGUCCAAACUCCGGCGAGAAUACCCGACGUGCAACUGAGAUUUUCUCUCAGUUCCUUGCAUUAUAGCCUACGAGACCUGCACUGUUGGACUCCUGGAAGCGAGAAGAAGUUGGCCCAACGCUCAGAUCCGGUAACCGCCGUGAUCGCCACCGUCUUCGGUCCUCUUCUCCUACGAGUCUCGCCGGAAAAGUUCCAAAACUCGGUAAAACUUGUAUAUUCCGACUCUAUUCUUCGUUCUGAGUUCAAAUAUCAUUUUUGUUACAUGAAAUUCAAAGUAUUUCACUAAAAAUCUCUCUUUUCCAUGCGUUUUCUUCAUGAUCAAGAGGUUAUGAGUUAUCCUUUUUGCUUCUAGGAACUCACAGAUCAUGAAGGAAACAUUUUUCAGAAAUUUCAUGGAACAAACAGGUUGAAAUUUGAAACAGAGGAAUGAACUUCAUGUUCAUCAACCUCUCGGCCUCUUCUUCUCAACGAGGAAGAAGAAGAAACUUGAGCCUCAGGCUUUGAGCGUCUUGUAACUCUGUGACCAUCAUGAAAGGUGUUGAGUAAUUCUUUGAAUUGGUAGCUUGAGGAACAAGGUUAAUUAAUAAAAUUAAUUAAGCAUAAAAAAUUGUAAAUCUUGACCUUAAAUAGCUUGAUUUGGAAACUUGGAGUGCAAGAGAAGCUUGGACAGGUGUGGAUAUUAAUUAUGGACCAUGUUGAGACCAAAUAGCUUGGACUAACCAUGAGGAUUAAUGCUCAUGAGACUUGAGACUUGGACUACUAAAAGAUCAAUUAAGACUAAAUUAACUAAAACUUGGAUAAUAACUAUAAAUGAUUUAUGUUUGAUUGUGAUUUGGAAUUAUUGCAGAUCAGGACAAUCAAUAUUUGACAUUUCUCUCAAGCAUAGGUAAGGGGGAUACAAGUUGCGAGGCCAUGGAUGAAUAGUAAAGUCUUUCUGACAGGAGGAUUGCUUCUAAUCAUAUUUGUUAGAUUGUUUGGCUAUUGGAUUGUUGUUUGGUAAUGGGGGUAAAUUCAUAUGUAUGCAUCAUUUUGCAUAUAGAUGGACCUGCCCUUGGUAUUGACCUAAUCGCUACUGUGGGAGAGGUCAUUCAAGACGCCUAUGAAGAGCUCUUACAUGCAUUUGUAUUACAACUUGAAUCAAGUUGUCGGAUAUUGAGGGCGGUGGCACUAGCUCAUUGGUUGGGCAUUAUGAUGUGCAUGAUAUUCAAUUACCUGAAUUUUAUAGCUCUUAUGAAUUGUUAGAGUGUUGUGAACUUGAUACUGAUAAAAGAUACAAACAGAAAUCCAGAAAUUAGAUAUGUUAUUAAUCACCUGAAUACGCAAAUGAAAUACUACUUAGCCAGAAAUGAGAGGGAAAAUAGCAAAGUUGAAGAUGUCAUAUGCAAGAUGGGGUAUGAGAUUCCCGAAGAGGGUAAAUUGUUGAUUUAUGACUCGAAGCCAUUAACAAUGAAAUUUAAAAGCAAGUUUAGAGAUGAUUUCAUGGAGCUAGGGGUGAAGUCUGUGCAGUACAUAUUCCAUCUACCACAAAAAAUCUUAUAUUUGCUAGUUUAGACCCUAAGGACACUCUUUAAUUUGUUUCAUUCCCGGGUGUUUGUUUCUACUUUCUUUGUUCAUAAUCAUUCCCCUAGAUGUGACAAUCACACUACACGCACUACAAAAUGUAUAUUUCUUAGGUACUCUUGCAUUUUGCAGGGACACCGAGUAUUCGGUGACCGGGAGUUGGUCAUUUUGCAUACAGAUGGACCUGCCCUUGGUAUUGACCUAAUCGCUACUGUGGGAGAGGUCAUUCAAGACGCCUAUGAAGAGCUCUUACAUGCAUUUGUAUUACAACUUGAAUCAAGUUGUCGGAUAUUGAGGGCGGAGGCACUAGCUCAUUGGUUGGGCAUUAUGACAUGCGUGAUAUUCAAUUACCUGAAUGUUAUAACUUUUAUGAAUUUUUAGAGUGUUGUGAAUUUGAUACCGAUAAGAGAUACGAAUAGAAAUCCAUAAAUUGGAUAUGUUAUUAAUC
rnacentral:lncRNA from 1 species